AACGAACGCUGGCGGCAGGCUUAACACAUGCAAGUCGAGCGCCCCGCAAGGGGAGCGGCAGACGGGUGAGUAACGCGUGGGAAUCUACCCUGAUCUGCGGAAUAGCUCCGGGAAACUGGAAUUAAUACCGCAUGUGCCCUGAGGGGCAAAGAUUUAUCGGUUCAGGAUGAGCCCGCGUCCGAUUAGCUAGUUGGUGGGGUAAUGGCCUACCAAGGCGACGAUCGGUAGCUGGUCUAAGAGGAUGAUCAGCCACAUUGGGACUGAGACACGGCCCAAACUCCUACGGGAGGCAGCAGUGGGGAAUAUUGGACAAUGGGCGCAAGCCUGAUCCAGCCAUGCCGCGUGAGUGAUGAAGGCCCUAGGGUUGUAAAGCUCUUUCAGUGGGGACGGUAAUGACGGUACCCACAGAAGAAGCCCCGGCUAACUUCGUGCCAGCAGCCGCAGUAA
rnacentral:rRNA from 1 species